GUGCAGAUGAUUAUAAUUAAGUUGAUUUAAAAGUCGAAUUUGCCCUUAUUGUUCGGGUAGAAUAUCAAAGCUGAUGUGAAAGUCGUUUGGGAUUGAGUCAGUUGGAUUGAAAUCGAAAAGACAGAGUUUUCUGGGUUAUCUUUGCAGGGUGAAAGAGGAGACAGAGCGGGAAUAGAGACGGUGAGAUCUGUGUUGCUUUGAAAAUUUGAUAGUUUAGUUUUGGUUUCGUUUCGCUAAUAUGAUUGAUUGAGUAAGGAAAACGAUUUCUUAAGUGUAUGGGAAAAUUUGAUUUUGUAAAACAACUAGAAUCUCAUAGGCUAUAUAAGUAUCUGUUAUUUCAGUUGAACAAGUCUUCAAUCCGAAAUAGUGAUUUCUAUUUGAUUCAUCAGUUGAAAUAUAUACAUUGAAGAAAUGGUUUCUGUUCAGUUUAUCAAUUCUGGUUUCAUAUAGCUAAUGUGCAGAACAACUAGAACAAAAGUAACAAUGAAAGAUUUUUGUUCUUAUGGAUUUCAAUUGAUUGAAUUCGCAGGUCAUGUGUUAUAUAUCAAUAAUGUUGCAAUUUCACAUUCUGACUUAGUGGUCACUUACAUUUAAAUGUAUUCUGUUAAGUCUUGACACUAAAUAAUUUCAUAUACAGUGUUCAGCUAUCCUGCUUUUUAGUUAAAGUAACUUAAACAAUUGCGUAUACAGUGCUCAGCUAUCCUACUUUUUAGUUAAAUGCAAAACAAACAAAAUUCUACUCCCAUCAAUAUUCUUAUGACUGCCAUUUUCAUGUUUGAUGCCAACAUUGAUGCACAUUUAUCAUUUAUUGCUAUCCUGCUACAACCAAAAAGUACAAUUGCUCGGUUUUCAGAUGAUUGGCAAUAUUUGCCUCUAUCAGAUUAAGACAUGCUACUCAUUCCUUGAUGUUAUUCAUAUAUAUGCACCAUAUUGGCUCAAUACUUAGGUAAACAUCAGAUACUUCCUAUUGUCUUUAGAUCCUUUGAAGCUGCUGGUGCUCUUGAGAAGUUUGUACAGAGUGAUUAUGGUGAAGAUAUAAGGCCUUAAUUACACUGAUGAUAUCAAGUCCAUUGACCGUCAAAGGAAAUUGGCAUUCCCACGUCCUGUCUUGGCAAGUGAAAAUUCUUGCAUCUCCUUCAUUCCUGAUUUUCAUAAAGAUAUAUUAUUCUAAACAAUCUCGUCCCAUGAUAAUUCUGUUCUGCAGAUGCUGUUUGUAGUUCAAUUCAAUACCAUAAUAACAAUUUGUGUCAACUUUAAAGUAACACUUUUGUCUUUCAUAAUUGAAAAGAUGACUGAUCAUGUGCACCUCAAGAAAGGGAAUUAUGAAAGACAAGAUAUCCAUUACUGUUAUGCUUCAUUCAUAUUAUAGCCCUUUUAUAGUUGAUUCAUGUCAUUUAGCUAGUAUUUGUUGGCGUGCAAUUUUCGAAUUGACAUAAACAUUUAUCAAACGAAUUGAUUUGAGUCUGUUUUUUGAGUGUUAUUUAAUAAAAGCCUAUUAAGAAACCAACCUUAGGACAAAUUUAUCAGGCAACGACCCAUUUUCAAUUUUUAUAGUUGGUUUGUGCUUCAAUAGCAGUACUAUAUUCCCAGACCACAAUGUUGUCCCAAUUGGAUCUGCAUUCACAUACACUCAAUAAGUUUUAUCAUCUUUUAAUCUUACUACGAUCGAAUGUUUUCCAUAACCGGUGUUUCUUUCUUUUGGUAUUAUGUCCAGUACUUUACUGGAAACAUUUUUUCUGUACAUCUUUUACUUUGCUCUCUGUUCUCAAGCAUUUACAGACCUACAAAAGCUACCUUCAAUGUUUGUUUGCACAAAUAAUAUAUUGGUAAGGACUCAUAUUUUUCGAGCUGCUCUAUGUCAUACACUAUAUCAUUGCAAAUCAACUUUUCAACUGUAUUAUCAAAUCAAAUUUUAUUGAAUGGAUUGCUGACACUUUAUAUUAUGCAGAGCAGCCCCUACACUGGAACUGUGUUCAUCAAUCCAACUACGAGAGUUCCCUUUUUCACGCAUCUUUCUCCUGCCCUGCUUUCGCUCACUGUUAAUAUUACCUUUGUAGACAUGUAAUGUAUCUAACAUACAAUUCACAACAUUUCUUCAUUUCAUUGCAGUGCGGGGGCAAUCUUGCUAGUUAUUUUAAAGGUUAAAGUUGGGCUUCGCCAUGGGCCUCACUUGAUCAAAAUCAUCUUCUGAGAAAGCCCAAAGAUACACACCUACGACUUGUACACUCGACUCAAGCAAAGCAGACCCGAUCCUCGAUGCGGCUGGCCACGAUUAGUAUAUGGAGUUAGCAAUAACCAAAAGAUGAAACCACAACAGGACUGCUUGCUAGCUUUGAAAGCAUGAGAAUAUAGUAUAGCCGUAUCUAGAACUACAAAAACUUAUCCAAGGGGUAGCAAAAUUAAAUAGCUCAAUUGAUCAUGUAUCGAGCAAUAAAAAAAAGUCUAGUACUGUCAAAUACUUUCCCUGUACUAGUAUAGACUUUAUUUUCUAAUAUAGGUACUACUGUUAUAUCUUCUAAUGUAGGUACAGCUUAUACAUACUGCAAACUGCAGAAUACUUCUCUGUACUAUUUCCAUGUCUGCUCCUCGAAAGUUGAAGCCAUUAUUAGUAAUCCUGCCAUCACUGCAAAAGUUUUCCCAGCAAUGUAAGGAGCUGUAGGUAGAUCAUCGAAGUAGCACCAAAAACUCAAUCACGAGGAAGUCCAAGAGUUGAUACAGUCCGCAAGGGAAUUUUCUUGCUGACAUGCUGCAUAUAAAGAACAAAGGUCAAAGCUCAAAUCAAUUGGCAUUGCACUAGACUACCUUGGAACAGGAAAAGAUUUUAGAAGUCGCAAUACUGUUGUUGCCCAUGGUGUCUUUUGCACAUACACAUAUCCACAAAACUGAGAAUUUGGCCAUUGAAUUUAAUGCUCCAGAGACAACACAUAGAGCAGUGCAACAAACUUUCACUCUAACAACAUGCAUUUAACAGAACUUAUCGAUAGACUGAUUUGGAACGGAAAGGAUCUUACCAGUCAGUAAGGCAGCUCUUAUCAUUCUACAUACGACUACAUCCCGAUAUUAUGUGCAUAGGUGAAUUAGAUAGGUUAUGAGGAUUCUUGUAUCAUUACUGAAUGUUUAUGUCUCCUGAUCAUGGAGUCCAGCUGACAAUUUA